rnacentral:rRNA from 1 species
GUGGGGAAUAUUGGACAAUGGGGGGAACCCUGAUCCAGCCAUGCCGCGUGUGUGAAGAAGGCCUUUUGGUUGUAAAGCACUUUAAGCGAGGAGGAGGCUACCGAGAUUAAUACUCUUGGAUAGUGGACGUUACUCGCAGAAUAAGCACCGGCUAACUCUGUGCCAGCAGCCGCGGUAAUACAGAGGGUGCAAGCGUUAAUCGGAUUUACUGGGCGUAAAGCGCGCGUAGGUGGCCAAUUAUGUCAAAUGUGAAAUCCCCGAGCUUAACUUGGGAAUUGCAUUCGAUACUGGUUGGCUAGAGUAUGGGAGAGGAUGGUAGAAUUCCAGGUGUAGCGGUGAAAUGCGUAGAGAUCUGGAGGAAUACCGAUGGCGAAGGCAGCCAUCUGGCCUAAUACUGACACUGAGGUGCGAAAGCAUGGGGAGCAAACAGGAUUAGAAACCCUGGUAGUCC